GACGAACGCUGGCGGCGUGCUUAACACAUGCAAGUCGAACGAUGAUGCCCAGCUUGCUGGGUGGAUUAGUGGCGAACGGGUGAGUAACACGUGAGUAACCUGCCCCUGACUCUGGGAUAAGCGUUGGAAACGACGUCUAAUACUGGAUAUGACUGCCGGCCGCAUGGUCUGGUGGUGGAAAGAUUUUUUGGUUGGGGAUGGACUCGCGGCCUAUCAGCUUGGUGGUGAGAUAAUGGCUCACCAAGGCGACGACGGGUAGCCGGCCUGAGAGGGUGACAGGCCACACUGGGACGGAGACACGGCCCAGACUCCUACGGGAGGCAGCAGGGGGGAAUAUUGCACAAUGGGCGAAAGCCUGAUGCAGCAACGCCGCGUGAGGGAUGACGGCGUUCGGGUUGUAAACCUCUUUUAGUAGGGAAGAAGCGUAAGUGACGGUACCUGCAGAAGAAGCACCGGCUAACUACGUGCCAGCAGCCGCUGUAA
rnacentral:rRNA from 1 species